GUGCAUGGCAGACGGGUGAGUAACGCGUGGGGAAUCUACCUCUUUGUGGGGAAUAACGCUCCGAAAGGAGUGGUAAUACCGCAUGAGAUCCAUGGCUGGAAUGUUGUGGAUGAAACCUGGGGACCUUCGGGCCUGGGGCAAGGAGAGGAUCCUGCGUCUGAUUAGCUAGUUGGUGAGGUAACGGCCCACCAAGGCAACGAUCAGUAGCCGGCCUGAGAGGGUGAUCGGCCACACUGGAACUGAGACACGGUCCAGACUCCUACGGGAGGCAGCAGUGGGGAAUUUUGCGCAAUGGGCGAAAGCCUGACGCAGCAACGCCGCGUGGGUGAUGAAGGUCUUCGGAUCGUAAAACCCUGUCGUCGGGGACGAAGGUGUGGGGGUUAAUAGCCUUUGCAUUUGACGGUACCCGGAGAGGAAGCCCCGGCUAACUCUGUGCCAGCAGCCGCGGUAAUACAGAGGGGGCAAGCGUUAUUCGGAAUUAUUGGGCGUAAAGGGCGCGUAGGCGGCUUUUUAAGUGAGAUGUGUAAUCCCCGAGCUCAACUUGGGAACUGCAUCUCAUACUGGGAGGCUAGAGUACUGGAGAGGGUGGUAGAAUUCCACGUGUAGCGGUGAAAUGCGUAGAGAUGUGGAGGAAUACCAGUGGCGAAGGCGGCCACCUGGACAGUAACUGACGCUG
rnacentral:rRNA from 1 species